ACUCCUACGGGAGGCAGCAGUGGGGAAUAUUGCACAAUGGGGGGAAACCCUGAUGCAGCCAUGCCGCGUGUGUGAAGAAGGCCUUCGGGUUGUAAAGCACUUUCAGUAGGGAGGAAGGUAGUGUAGUUAACACCUGCAUUAUUUGACGUUACCUACAGAAGAAGCACCGGCUAACUCCGUGCCAGCAGCCGCGGUAAUACGGAGGGUGCGAGCGUUAAUCGGAAUUACUGGGCGUAAAGCGCAUGCAGGCGGCCUGUUAAGUCAGAUGUGAAAGCCCGGGGCUUAACCUCGGAAUUGCAUUUGAAACUGGCAGGCUAGAGUCUUGUAGAGGGGGGUAGAAUUUCAGGUGUAGCGGUGAAAUGCGUAGAGAUCUGAAGGAAUACCAGUGGCGAAGGCGGCCCCCCUGGACAAAGACUGACGCUCAGAUGCGAAAGCGUGGGGAGCAAACAGGAUUAGAUACCCUGGUAGCACAGAG
rnacentral:rRNA from 1 species